rnacentral:rRNA from 1 species
GGUUAAGCGACUAAGCGUACACGGUGGAUGCCCUGGCAGUCAGAGGCGAUGAAGGACGUGCUAAUCUGCGAUAAGCGUCGGUAAGGUGAUAUGAACCGUUAUAACCGGCGAUUUCCGAAUGGGGAAACCCAGUGUGAUUCGUCACACUAUCAUUAACUGAAUCCAUAGGUUAAUGAGGCGAACCGGGGGAACUGAAACAUCUAAGUACCCCGAGGAAAAGAAAUCAACCGAGAUUCCCCCAGUAGCGGCGAGCGAACAGGGAGGAGCCCAGAGCCUGAAUCAGUGUGUGUGUUAGUGGAAGCGUCUGGAAAGGCGCGCGAUACAGGGUGACAGCCCCGUACACAAAAAUGCACAUACUGUGAGCUCGAUGAGUAGGGCGGGACACGUGGUAUCCUGUCUGAAUAUGGGGGGACCAUCCUCCAAGGCUAAAUACUCCUGACUGACCGAUAGUGAACCAGUACCGUGAGGGAAAGGCGAAAAGAACCCCGGCGAGGGGAGUGAAAAAGAACCUGAAACCGUGUACGUACAAGCAGUGGGAGCCUCUUUUAUGGGGUGACUGCGUACCUUUUGUAUAAUGGGUCAGCGACUUAUAUUCUGUAGCAAGGUUAACCGAAUAGGGGAGCCGAAGGGAAACCGAGUCUUAACUGGGCGUUAAGUUGCAGGGUAUAGACCCGAAACCCGGUGAUCUAGCCAUGGGCAGGUUGAAGGUUGGGUAACACUAACUGGAGGACCGAACCGACUAAUGUUGAAAAAUUAGCGGAUGACUUGUGGCUGGGGGUGAAAGGCCAAUCAAACCGGGAGAUAGCUGGUUCUCCCCGAAAGCUAUUUAGGUAGCGCCUCGUGAAUUCAUCUCCGGGGGUAGAGCACUGUUUCGGCAAGGGGGUCAUCCCGACUUACCAACCCGAUGCAAACUGCGAAUACCGGAGAAUGUUAUCACGGGAGACACACGGCGGGUGCUAACGUCCGUCGUGAAGAGGGAAACAACCCAGACCGCCAGCUAAGGUCCCAAAGUCAUGGUUAAGUGGGAAACGAUGUGGGAAGGCCCAGACAGCCAGGAUGUUGGCUUAGAAGCAGCCAUCAUUUAAAGAAAGCGUAAUAGCUCACUGGUCGAGUCGGCCUGCGCGGAAGAUGUAACGGGGCUAAACCAUGCACCGAAGCUGCGGCAGCGACGCUUAUGCGUUGUUGGGUAGGGGAGCGUUCUGUAAGCCUGUGAAGGUGUGCUGUGAGGCAUGCUGGAGGUAUCAGAAGUGCGAAUGCUGACAUAAGUAACGAUAAAGCGGGUGAAAAGCCCGCUCGCCGGAAGACCAAGGGUUCCUGUCCAACGUUAAUCGGGG